rnacentral:rRNA from 1 species
CUCGUGUCGUGAGAUGUUGGGUUAAGUCCCGCAACGAGCGCAACCCACGCCAUUAGUUACCAUCAUUUAGUUGGGCACUCUAAUGGGACCGCCGGUGGU